rnacentral:tRNA from 1 species
GGUGUUGUGGUUCAGAGGUAGAACACUCGCCUAGCAAGUGUGAGGCCCUGGAUUCGAUCCUCAGCACCACAU